UUGGAUUUUGAGAGAUCUUAUCUCCAUUUGUGCCCUUUGGGGCUCUAUCAAUCUGGAGAUUGAAUUUUCAUAGAUUAGAAGAUAAUGUGUAAGAGUAAACUCAUUGGAGCAUUUUUCAUUGAUAAUACCUUCAAAGAUUUUCAGAAUUUCAAGUAUGGAUAGAUCUGUAUUUUGCAGGAUAACCUUAAUCUUGAGGUCAGUAAAACCUCAACCUUGAGAUUGAUAUUUUGUAGAGCUAAAAAGAUAUCUUCAAUCAUAAAGUCGGUAUUUAUAUGAGUUGAAAUAUAACC
rnacentral:lncRNA from 1 species